UACGUAGGGUGCAAGCGUUGUCCGGAAUUAUUGGGCGUAAAGAGCUCGUAGGCGGUCCAGCAAGUCGGGUGUGAAAGCCCUCGGCUCAACCGAGGAAGUGCAUUCGAAACUGCUGAACUUGAGUAUGGAAGAGGAUCGCGGAAUUCCCGGUGUAGAGGUGAAAUUCGUAGAUAUCGGGAGGAACACCAGUGGCGAAGGCGGCGAUCUGGGCCAAUCUGACGCUGAGGUGCGAAAGCGUGGGGAGCAAACAGGG
rnacentral:rRNA from 1 species